CCUACGGGUGGCAGCAGUGGGGAAUAAUGGACAAUGGGGGCAACCCUGAUCCAGCCAUGCCGCGUGUGUGAAGAAGGCCCUCGGGUUGUAAAGCACUUUCAGUGAGGAAGAACGCCUGGUGGUUAAUACCCAUCAGGAAAGACAUCACUCACAGAAGAAGCACCGGCUAACUCCGUGCCAGCAGCCGCGGUAAUACGGAGGGUGCGAGCGUUAAUCGGAAUUACUGGGCGUAAAGCGCGCGUAGGUGGCUUGAUAAGCCGGUUGUGAAAGCCCCGGGCUCAACCUGGGAACGGCAUCCGGAACUGUCAAGCUAGAGUGCAGGAGAGGAAGGUAGAAUUCCCGGUGUAGCGGUGAAAUGCGUAGAGAUCGGGAGGAAUACCAGUGGCGAAGGCGGCCUUCUGGACUGACACUGACACUGAGGUGCGAAAGCGUGGGUAGCAAACAGGAUUAGAUACCCUAGUAGUC
rnacentral:rRNA from 1 species